CCCUUAGAUGUUCUGGGCUGCACGCGCGCUACACUGAUGCGCUCAACGAGUUUUAACCUUGCCUGGAAAGGUUGGGUAAUCUUUUUAAAACGCAUCGUGAUGGGGAUAGAUUAUUGCAAUUAUUAAUCUUCAACGAGGAAUUCCUAGUAAGCGCGAGUCAUCAGCUCGCGCUGAAUACGUCCCUGCCCUUUGUACACACCGCCCGUCGCUCCUACCGAUUGAGUGGUCCGGUGAGGCUUUGGGAUCUGAGCGGAAAGAGCGUUUCGCUGUUUCUGCCCGGAAAACUCAGUCGAACCUUAUCAUUUAGAGGAAGGAGAAGUCGUAACA
rnacentral:rRNA from 1 species